GUUCCCCACUUGUGAGAGACACGAUGAAGAGGAGUUAUCCCAGUGGGGCAGAAAAGAAAAAGCAGAGGAAGGAAAAGGAGGAAAAAAGAAAGAAAGACAGUGGAUCAUUACUAACUUUUUUAAAAUCAAAAAAUCCAGGGAAGGAUAAUGUUCCCCCUCCCAUUCCUGAUGAUGAAAACUUUCCAUCAACAUCCACCUCCAGCAGCACAGCAGUUUCCCAACCUCCUGCGCAGAAGAUCCAACAGAUGAUCAAAGAUCAAUUUCAACUGCGGAUACAGAUGACUUUCCAUCAAGACCCGAAGGUGAAGCAUUGCUCUCAGCGGACCCUGCACAAUGGCCAAGCAUCCUAAGCAGUGUUGCCAAACUUAGCGACUUUCUCGCUAAAUCUAGCGACUUUUCAAAGCUCCUAGCGACUUUUUUGUCAAAAGCGACUAGCGACAAAUCUAGCGACUUUUUCUGCCGUUUUGGCGACUGACAGGAAAACUCGGCUCAUUCUGCAGUUACUGUUUUCAACAAGCAGCAGGUGCUGCUGUGAGCUUCUCCCCCUCCCACAGGCUGUCAGUCCAGUAACCCUGCAGCGGUCCCAGUGAGGGGAGGGGGAGACCCACAUCACUCCGCAGACAGACGGCAGAUGAAUCGCGCAUGCGCAAAGUCACUACAGAUCCCAUCCAGACUUACGGAGCGGAAUAUAAACGAAAAUGUUUCUUCACUGUCAUGCUAAAAUAAACCACAGCAUUUAGCCUCGAGUGAAAAAACAUAUUUUGGGUGUUUCAUACUCACUUUUUGGUCUCUUCCACAACGUUAUUCCUCUCUCCUACAACGUUGAUUACAAUUACAUGCAAACUGGGAAAUAUGCAAAUUAGGUGAUGACGUCAUUUAGCGACUUCUAGCGACUUUUAGGACAGCCAAUAGCGACUUUCCUUACUGAGGAGUUGGCAACAGUGAUCCUAAGCCAUACCGAACUGUGCCAGCUGGUAACAAGGGGACCCAUACAGGUGAAAGAUAUGGCUUUCCCCCAGAAUACAGACAAAACUCCACGUAGAUUCAAAAAGGAAUAUUCCGAUAUGACCAUGAAAAAUGGUGACAAAAUACAGCGAAGAUGGCUUAUGUAUUCAGUCAGUACAGACUCAGUCUUCUGCUUUGCAUGCAAGCUUUUUGGAAAACUGGACAAUUCACUUACCAAAGGGGGAUUUAGGAAUUGGAAAAACAUAGCUGGUCAUUUAAAGGAACAUGAGCAUUCAAAGACACAUCAUACCUGUCAGAGCCCUCUCCUCACCCCUGUCCUGUCUGGCAUCCCAAAAACCCCAUCCUAUCUGUCUCCCACUUUUUCUCUCUCUUCUUUGCUCUCUUCUGUUCUCUCUCUCUCCCCAGCACUGCACCUGGGUGGAGCGCGGCCUCAGCUGCCUCCACUCAGGUAAUCAGCUUCACUACGAGACCCGGACAGCUGUGCCUCAUCUCACUGAUUACAUCCUCUGCAAUAAAGACCAGCUGAACCUACCACACCCUGCCCGAUUGUUGCACUCGACCACACAAAUCCUGCCGUCCAGGUCGUCACCUGCUUCACCUGUUUGGGACUGUGUCUGGAGACAAUUCGGCUCCCAGCCUGCCUGCCUGGAACCCAUUCCUGGGUUAUUUUCCCUGUUAGAUUACCUGCUCAACUCAGUCCUCGAAGCCUCCAGCCACUCCGGCUCCGAUCAGCCUGUGGCUUCCUAUCAAACAUCCUCCCGGAAUCAAAAGACGAUCACUGACGUCUGGCCCACUCACCAACACGGUCCCCUGGAUCAUCAGUGUCCGACGACCUCCGCAUCUCCGACUCCAGCUUCCCACCACUGUCGACUGGCCCAAUUACCAGCACGGCCCCCCGGAUCGACAGCAUUCUCCAUUUCCCCGUACCUCCGGCUCCUGCUCCAUUCCACCCUCCGUCUGCAUUCACCACCGGCCGCCAAGGAUCUGCCAACAUCAGCCGUCGCACUCUGGUUCCCCCAAACCUACGACGACUGCCGAUCCCCGGCUCCAGAACUCUGUACAAAAUCCACUCAGUAUCCAUCCGGCUCCACGCAUUCAGGUUCCCUGCAUUCCUUUCCAUAAUUCAUCUUCAUACAAUAAAACAUUCUUAAAUUCC